rnacentral:rRNA from 1 species
CAGGAUGAACGCUAGCUACAGGCUUAACACAUGCAAGUCGAGGGGUAGCAGGGUAGCAAUACCGCUGACGACCGGCGCACGGGUGAGUAACACGUAUCCAACCUUCCCAUAACUCAGGGAUAGCCUUUCGAAAGAAAGAUUAAUACCUGAUAGUACUUUUUCAAGGCAUCUUGAGAAAGUUAAAGAUUUAUUGGUUAUGGAUGGGGAUGCGUUCCAUUAGAUAGUUGGUGAGGUAACGGCUCACCAAGUCUUCGAUGGAUAGGGGUUCUGAGAGGAAGGUCCCCCACAUUGGUACUGAGACACGGACCAAACUCCUACGGGAGGCAGCAGUGAGGAAUAUUGGUCAAUGGGCGAGAGCCUGAACCAGCCAAGUAGCGUGAAGGAUGAAGGUCCUAUGGAUUGUAAACUUCUUUUAUAGUAGAAUAAAGUGAUCCACGUGUGGACUUUUGUAUGUAUACUAUGAAUAAGGAUCGGCUAACUCCGUGCCAGCCGCAGC